AGACUGAUGGAAGGGCCGAGACACAGAAAGUGCUUCUCAGAAGGCAGCUCAAUAUGGCGGCUGGUGUUACUCCUACAAAUGCACCUCCUUGUAUCCUGAAGCCUUGGAGGCCAUUGUCACAGUUCAGGACAGUGAUCCAUCCCUUCCCAAAUCAGCCAGAAUUAAAUGGCCUGAAAUCUUCGAGGCCCCAGGAACAUACACUUCUAGAUCAGCACUUCUCUUCUUUUAACACAGCUUCUCAUGUCUUUGACCACACAGGCCAUCCCUGUCAGGGGUAGAUCCUGAGCUCAGGGAUUGAGCUCUGGGAAGCACUGGCCUCUCUGUCAUAAUUGCUCCUCCUCUCUGGGAACACAGACCCAUGCAUCAACCCCCACUUUGCAGCAGCAGGCUUGAGUCCUAUAAUUAUAAGCAUGAUGAAGUCUGUCUCAGCUGGAGCCAGAUGGGAACUAUGCUAUGAAAGCCCCUAAUUACACAUCUCUGCAAGGAGAACCAGGUGGGUGCCGAUCGUAACGAUGCCUAUUGAGGAGCGACAACCCUGAUACACAACAUGGCAACAUACGGCUCUGAUGCUGGGAAGUUCUCGGGAGGUGCUUCCCUGCAUUGGCUUCAGGGAACCCACAGAGCUGGGUGCCCAGGGUAAAGAGGAAACACAACAGUAGCCUGGAAGCUGAGUCUCUUCUAUUGAGAAAGACAUGGGUGUUAUGCAUCAGAGUCAUUCCUAAAGGGAAAAAAAUCAGGUUAAUGGGCUCUGGGACCAAGUUUUCUCCAUGACAGUGAACUGAUACAAAUGUAUGCACACAUGCAACCCAAACACACACACCUCAUUGCUCACUCACUGUAAAACAGUCACUUACAUAUGCGAGUGUUACCCUGUUGUCACUUGCAGCCACAUACCUACAUGUACUUAAGAACCUUAAGGAGCGUCUAUGUCUGGUCCAAGUCACAUGACUGGUGAAGAGUAGAGGCAAAGCUUCAUAUAACACCGCAAGCAGUGUGACCACCAUACUACACAGUCCCCAAGAAUCAUUCGUGUCUGGCUCCAUUAAAAUUGUUCAGGUUUCACAGUGAGACAGAGAGAAGCCUGAAACUCUGAUAUGGUCAUUCUUCCGGCCUCUCUAUAACAGGCAUGAAAUAACCUACGCAGAGUGUGAUGGUUUGUAUAUGUUUGGCCCAGGGAGUGGCACUAUUAGAGUGUGGCCCUAUUGGAGGAGGUGUGUCACUGUGGGUGUGGGCUUUAACACCCUCAUCCUAGCUGCCUGGAAGUCAGUAUUGUGCUAGCAGCCUUCCGAUGAAGAUGUAGAACUCUCAGCUCCUCCUGCACCAUUCCUGCCUGGAUGCUGCCA
rnacentral:lncRNA from 1 species